rnacentral:rRNA from 1 species
AGAGUUUGAUCAUGGCUCAGAUUGAACGCUGGCGGCAGGCUUAACACAUGCAAGUCGAGCGGAGAUGGUGUGCUUGCACACUAUUUUAGCGGCGAACGGGUGAGUAAUGCCUAGGAAUCUGCCCAUUAGCGGGGGACAACGUGUGGAAACGCACGCUAAUACCGCAUACGCCCUACGGGGGAAAGCAGGGGACUCUUUGAGCCUUGCACUAAUGGAUGAGCCUAGGUCAGAUUAGCUAGUUGGUGGGGUAAAGGCCUACCAAGGCGACGAUCUGUAGCGGGUCUGAGAGGAUGAUCCGCCACACUGGAACUGAGACACGGUCCAGACUCCUACGGGAGGCAGCAGUGGGGAAUAUUGGACAAUGGGCGCAAGCCUGAUCCAGCCAUGCCGCGUGUGUGAAGAAGGCCUUUUGGUUGUAAAGCACUUUAAGCGGGGAGGAGGCUACUGGUACUAAUAUUACCAGCUAGUGGACGUUACCCGCAGAAUAAGCACCGGCUAACUCUGUGCCAGCAGCCGCGGUAAUACAGAGGGUGCGAGCGUUAAUCGGAAUUACUGGGCGUAAAGCGCGCGUAGGCGGUUUGUUAAGUCGGAUGUGAAAUCCCCGGGCUCAACCUGGGAAUUGCAUUCGAUACUGGCAAGCUAGAGUAUGGGAGAGGAAGGUAGAAUUCCAGGUGUAGCGGUGAAAUGCGUAGAGAUCUGGAGGAAUACCGAUGGCGAAGGCAGCCUUCUGGCCUAAUACUGACGCUGAGGUGCGAAAGCAUGGGGAGCAAACAGGAUUAGAUACCCUGGUAGUCCAUGCCGUAAACGAUGUCAACUAGCCGUUGGGGGAUUUGAUCCUUUAGUGGCGCAGCUAACGCGAUAAGUUGACCGCCUGGGGAGUACGGUCGCAAGACUAAAACUCAAAUGAAUUGACGGGGGCCCGCACAAGCGGUGGA